rnacentral:rRNA from 1 species
GAUGAACGCUAGCUACAGGCUUAACACAUGCAAGUCGAGGGGCAGCGGGAUUGAAGCUUGCUUCAAUUGCCGGCGACCGGCGCACGGGUGAGUAACGCGUAUCCAACCUUCCGUACACUCAGGGAUAGCCUUUCGAAAGAAAGAUUAAUACCUGAUGGUAUGAUGAGAUUGCAUGAUAUCAUCAUUAAAGAUUUAUCGGUGUACGAUGGGGAUGCGUUCCAUUAGGUAGUAGGCGGGGUAACGGCCCACCUAGCCAACGAUGGAUAGGGGUUCUGAGAGGAAGGUCCCCCACAUUGGAACUGAGACACGGCCCAAACUCCUACGGGAGGCAGCAGUGAGGAAUAUUGGUCAAUGGACGAGAGUCUGAACCAGCCAAGUAGCGUGAAGGAUGAAGGUCCUACGGAUUGUAAACUUCUUUUAUAAGGGAAUAAACCCUCCCACGUGUGGGAGCUUGUAUGUACCUUAUGAAUAAGCAUCGGCUAACUCCGUG